rnacentral:rRNA from 1 species
UACGUAGGGCGCAAGCGUUAUCCGGAAUUAUUGGGCGUAAAGAGCUCGUAGGCGGUUUGUUGCGUCGGCUGUGAAAUCCCGAGGCUCAACCUCGGGUCUGCAGUCGAUACGAGCAAACUAGAGUGUUGCAGGGGGAGACUGGAAUUCCUGGUGUAGCGGUGAAAUGCGCAGAUAUCAGGAGGAACACCGGUGGCGAAGGCGGGUCUCUGGGCAACAACUGACGCUGGAGGAGCGAAAGCCGUGGGGGAGCGAACAGG